rnacentral:rRNA from 1 species
AGUGAACGCUGGCGAUAGGCCUAACACAUGCAAGUCGAACGGCAGCACAGUAAGAGCUUGCUCUUACGGGUGGCGAGUGGCGGGCGGGUGAGGAAUACAUCGGAAUCUACUUUUUCGUGGGGGAUAACGUAGGGAAACUUACGCUAAUACCGCAUACGAACUACGGGUGAAAGCAGGGGAUCUUCGGACCUUGCGCGAUUGAAUGAGCCGAUGUCGGAUUAGCUAGUUGGCGGGGUAAAGGCCCACCAAGGCGACGAUCUGUAGCUGGUCUGAGAGGAUGAUCAGCCACACUGGAACUGAGACACGGUCCAGACUCCUACGGGAGGCAGCAGUGGGGAAUAUUGGACAAUGGGCGCAAGCCUGAUCCAGCCAUACCGCGUGGGUGAAGAAGGCCUUCGGGUUGUAAAGCCCUUUUGUUGGGAAAGAAAAGCAGCAGGUUAAUACCCCGCUGUUCUGACGGUACCCAAAGAAUAAGCACCGGCUAACUUCGUG